GACGAACGCUGGCGGCGUGCUUAACACAUGCAAGUCGAACGGAAAGGCCCUGCUUUUGUGGGGUGCUCGAGUGGCGAACGGGUGAGUAACACGUGAGUAACCUGCCCUUGACUUUGGGAUAACUUCAGGCAACUGGGGCUAAUACCUGAUAGGAGCUCCUGCUGCAUGGUGGGGGUUGGAACGUUUCGGCGGUUGGGGAUGGACUCGCGGCUUAUCAGCUUGUUGGUGGGGUAGUGGCUUACCAAGGCUUUGACGGGUAGCCGGCCUGAGAGGGUGACCGGCCACAUUGGGACUGAGAUACGGCCCAGACUCCUACGGGAGGCAGCAGGGGGGAAUAUUGCACAAUGGGCGGAAGCCUGAUGCAGAAACGCCGCGUGCGGGAUGACGGCCUUCGGGUUGGAAACCGCUUUCGCCUGUGACGAAGCGUGAGUGACGGUAAUGGGUAAAGAAGCACCGGCUAACUACGUG
rnacentral:rRNA from 1 species